AUUGUUUCGAACGCUCGCUUUUUUAAUUAAAAGUGGACGGAUCGGUAGUGAGGGUUUCUUUGCCAUUAACCGUGGCUCCCUCGAAAUACAUUAGCGCAUCCAUUUGAUAGGCAAGAACGGACGAAAGCUCAUCUUUCGCCCUCUCUUCCCUGCCGGGUUUUGAUAAUAUCAGGACUUCGGAGGCGGAGAAAGGGUACGAGCGGGACGCAACGUUUUUGCUGUUUGGCGUGCUUCUGAACCCCGCCCAUGCCUCGCUUUUUGGCGAAGGAAGGGAUUUUAAUAAUU
rnacentral:misc_RNA from 1 species